rnacentral:rRNA from 1 species
UACGUAGGUGGCGAGCGUUGUCCGGAUUUACUGGGCGUAAAGGGAGCGUAGGCGGACUUUUAAGUGAGAUGUGAAAUACUCGGGCUCAACUUGAGUGCUGCAUUUCAAACUGGAAGUCUAGAGUGCAGGAGAGGAGAAUGGAAUUCCUAGUGUAGCGGUGAAAUGCGUAGAGAUUAGGAAGAACACCAGUGGCGAAAGCGGCUCUCUGGCCUGUAACUGACACUGAGGCUCGAAAGCAUGGGGAGCAAACAGG